UGAAAUAUUCAUGUACUACUAUGUUGUUGCGCAUCGUAAUUCAAAUUUUCUAUUUGAACAAGUACAUAAGUAAAUGCCAUUUUUGGUCCAAAUCAAUCUCCUUCCUUCUAUUCAACAUUACGGAUAAAUCGAAUUGUAACUCAGCUCAAAGGGUAGAAACAAUGGCGCAUCAAAUGGAGUGCAGCUCCAUUCAAUUUAAUGUUAAAGGAAUUUUGGUUUUGAACACUGGAACGUUGUUCAAACUCAUGGGAAUGGUCUUCACAUACGUCAUAUUGUUCAUUCAAUUUUCACAAAUGUUAUAAUUUCUGAACUUAAUGCUAAAUAUCAACAAGAAAAUACAGUACUUACUUGCGAUGGGAAUGCGACGUGUAGAAAAAAUAUGAGUAGAUGAGAUGAUUGAUUUUUAAAAUAAAUAGCUCAAUCAAAAACUGUAGGUAAUAAAAUUACCUUCUUGGCACUUGUAAAAGUAGAUUUUUGCUAUUCGAAUGCUAAGUACUUACACAAAAAUUCAAAGCAUCAAGUGAGCGCCAAAGCUACUGAAGUAGAAUAAAUGUCUUGAAGUAAAUUUGGCUUGAUUUGAUUUGACAUGUUCCUACUUCAAAUGAGUAGUUUGGAGCGAAAAUGUAAUACAGACAAGUUGCGCGGAAAAAUGUCAAAUGAAAAGAGAUAGCUAGAACUAUAUAGCUAUCCCUUUUCCGCUCAUUCAUCAUCGACAUUUUUCUGCGCAACUUUUCUGUAUUACAUUUUUGCUAUAAAUAGUUCUGACGCUUACAUGGCGUGUUUAUCGAAUCAAUGUUGAUCAAAUAAAUAUCAGUUCAAAUUAUUCAAGUAAAACUCCCUAACGCAGAAAGUAGCGCUAACAGCAUUGUCAUAAAAUUAUUAGCCUAUAGCAGUAAAAAGCGCAAACCUAGUAUAUGGAGAUUGAAUGCCAUAAAAAAACACACGGAAAUUGCGGUGGGCUUGAUCGGUGCAUUUAUUAAAAGCAUGGCAAAAGAAUACAAUUAAAAUGAAAGCAUUAUUUUAUAAUUAUAAUUAUCUAUUACAACUCAUAUGAACUAGAUGGGCAGUUUGCACUCUGUAUUAGCUCGAUUCGGCUCUAUGAUACACAAAGUAUAUACAGUAUACACAGAAGCGGAACAGCGCCAAUAUACUCAAACACUAUGAACAAUAUUCACGUGUAUCGUGUUGGCCCGUGCUCUGUAUAGCAUAGAAUGGAAUGGAGCAGCAUCGACCAUUCUUACAAGAUCGAUAUUCAAGUGUAAUGGAAUAAGAAAAUAUCAGAGUCGAUAUUUGAAAAGAUGGUUUUUCAUAGUAGCAUUACGAAUAUGAAACAAUUCAAAAGGCUUCGUUAAAAACAGAACAGCGCAAAGCAAAAUAUUUAAAACGGCACACGCUAUGUUUCAUUCUUACGGCUUUCUUUUCCAUAUUCCAUUUUAUUGGAACCUUCGUUAUAACCACAUCCAAUCAUCAAUAUUGUAAUAUUCAUAAUCAUGAAUAAUGCACUGAAAUAUGAACAUUUCCACUGUAACAGAUGUACCGUUGUUUGAUUUUCUGACAAUUUCACAUGGUUUCGUAAUGUGGAUAUGAUGAAUGCAUUGUCGCACAUCCAUUGCAUUGGGAAAUUCUAUUAUUGAUUUCAGUGUAAUGAACACAUUUCCACCCAGAAUUCGAAGAAGAGUAAGCGAGGAAAAUGUAUUGCAUUUCCAAUUGUUCCUAGUAAACUCAUGAAUAAAUUGUGAUUUGGCGACAGAAAUUCGGAAUGCGUCCUUCGAGUGUCUGGUUUUAACAAUCAGAAAAUAUCUGUGCCCUCUCCUCAAAGGUAUUGAUAAGUGCAAUUAAAUAAGAAAAUAUCAGAGUAAGUAUUUGAAAAGAUAGUUUUUCAUAGUAGCGUUACGAAUUAGUGUUGAGACAGGCCUCUAAAAAUCAAGUAAUAAGAACAGGAUGAUUUGAAAAUCUGCGUAAAAAAGAGAUCAAGAAUAGACUAGUGAUAAUUUCAAUAAUUAUUUUAAAUAAAAUUAGUAACUUUGGCUUAUAGUAAAGCAGAGAAAAUGAAUAAAUGAUGCUUGCCUUUCCACAGACUUCUAAAUUACAACUUAUCAACUUGAAUCCUUUGAAAAAGAUCGGUUUCUGUGAGCGAGCCAUGAUCAAAACGAUGUAUCACUGCAGUUCUGGUGGAUACUCGUACCAGUCCAAAUCGUAAGCAACAUCGCCCAGCGACACAAAUUGUUCGGUAGCAAAAGUUGCAAAUUUACACAGAAGAAAGGGCCAGGCCAACGAACAGCUUAUGCAAAUGAUGUUAAAUGCAAAUUCAACUAUAUUGAACGGUGACUGAUGAUAAAGAAAAAUAAAAUAUUAUUGGAAAAGUACACAAUUUAGUCGACAGA